CAGCAGCCGCGGGAAUACAGAGGGUGCGAGCGUUAAUCGGAUUUACUGGGCGUAAAGCGUGCGUAGGCGGCUAAUUGAGUCGGAUGUGAAAUCCCCGAGCUUAACUUGGGAAUUGCAUUCGAUACUGGUUAGCUAGAGUGUGGGAGAGGAUGGUUGAAUUCCAGGUGUAGCGGUGAAAUGCGUAGAGAUCUGGAGGAAUACCGAUGGCGAAGGCAGCCAUCUGGCCUAACACUGACGCUGAGGUACGAAAGCAUGGGGAGCAAACAGGAUUAGAUACCCCUGUAGUCCCUGUCUCUUAUAC
rnacentral:rRNA from 1 species